GACCUAGUGGUGAAUGGUUCACACCCACUUCCCUUGUUCGCUAUCCUGAGGAAAAUGUAAGGUGGGGAGUCCCCGGUUCGAUUCCGGGUCGGGUCA